GCCCCGGCGGGCGCCGCUGCUGCUGCUGCUCCCGCACCGCGCCCUUCCCGCAGCCCCGGCCCCUCACGGCCUUUCCUUCUCCCAGGACAACGGAGCAGCUGCUUCCAUCUUCCCAAACACCGGCUUCGUGCACCGCGGCACCCCGCAGCCAUUGCUGCCAGCUGUGACGAGGGCUGAUCAUCCCCAGGAGUUCUCUGGCUCAAGGUACAGUUGACCUCUUAGAAUCAACUGUGGAAACGACCCACUACCAUUGUGCAGGAUGACUGAACCUCUUGGGAGAGAAAGGCAAUGCCAUGUUUUAUUACCUGCAUAAUCAAUGUUAAGGUUCUGAAGCAAAUAGCCCUCCUUGGACUUCACCAGACACUCAACUGGGCUUUGAGUAAAGUUGGUGAUUGCCUCCAAGUGACUCAGCAGUGACCCAGACUUUGCAAGCAAGAAGUAGAAAUAACUGUAAUGCCUUAUGGGCUUGCAAAACCUGUCCAACAGUUUUGCCUUUUUUAACGCACAUUUCAAUUUGAUGAAAGAUGGGCAAGGAGCAGAAAAAGCACACAUAAGGUAGUAUAGGAUUCUCCAGAGAGUGGGUGAUCUUACAGACUACAUGAGUAACAAAACACCAAGAUGUAAUGAGCUGAGGGCAUAGGCUGAUUGCCUGAGCGCUGAAGGGAUGACAACAACACCCAGCUGCCACUACUCCUAUCAGCAGAGGACCUGUAAGGAUAACUGGAGUUCAGGGGAUGCUGCAGUACCAUAGAAGAGGGUAAGGUAGGGUGGGACCAGGGGUACAGCUGCCCAGGCAUCUCUGUGUCCACUGAGAUACUGCACAGGAAAUUAAGUGUGGCAGUUGAGAAGUGAAAAUGCUUACAUCUGUGUUAGAGAUUGUGUGUCUGAAGCACAACACAUCAGCAGGUGGCUGAGGAGUUGGAAGUAACAACCUGAGAGAUCAGACUGUAGAAGUGUUAGAGGAGGCUCGAGGGAAAAGAACUAGAGAACAGAUCUGAGGAUAUGAAGACCUGUGAUAACAACUCAAAAAAUAUAUUCGGGUUAUGCAUCUGUUUAACAAAUUAAGAUGCCUGAAAAUAGACUGUCUGAAUACUUUGUAAUAAGUCUAGAAGAGUGUAGUAGGGCCAACCAAGUCAGCAUCAGAAAUAAUUAUAGGUCCAACAGUGAGACCAUCACAAUCUACAGACACUCUUGAGGCAAUAAGAAUACAAUGGUUUGGUUUGAAAGUGACCUUUAAGGUAUUCCAGUUCUAAAUCCUCUCCUGUGGACAGGGACAGCUUCCACUAAACCAGGCUGCUCAGAGCCCCAUCCAACCUGAUCUCGAAUACUUCCAGGGAUGGGGCAUCCACAGCUUCUCCAGGCAACCUGUUUUAGAUAUUCUGUGCUCUUAGACAAAUUGUGUGUAAGCCUUUGAGCAUAGAAUCUUUUGUUCGAUGGCAUGAAGGAUCUAAAAACUGGUUACAUGGGCAAACCUGGCCCUUUGGUGUUUUGGAUAUGAUGCACAAAACUUUGAAGAAACAUAUUUCUUAUUGCACAAUAUAAACCAGCUCUCCCAAGCUAAGUCAUAACUGAUUGAGGGACACCCAGAGCUUCUAUUUCCACUUAACAACUAGGAAACUAUUUUCAGCAAUUUGUGUGUACUACAAAGCUACCCAAACCAAAAACAUUGUGCAUUUUUAGAUGCUGUAUAAAAAUUAGUGCCGUGGGAUGUGUGUGGGAAAUAACCAGUACUUAAAGUUGGUAAUUAAAAUUAUUGA